rnacentral:rRNA from 1 species
UACGUAGGUGGCAAGCGUUGUCCGGAUUUACUGGGCGUAAAGAGCGCGCAGGCGGUCGUACAAGUCGCGUGUGAGAGCCCCCGGCUCAACUGGGGAGGGUCACGCGAUACUGUUCGACUCGAAGGCAGGAGAGGGAAGCAGAAUUCCCGGUGUAGUGGUGAAAUGCGUAGAUAUCGGGAGGAAUACCAGUGGCGAAGGCGGCUUCCUGGCCUGUUCUUGACGCUGAGGCGCGAAAGCUAGGGUAGCAAACGGG